AGUAGCCUGCGCCUACAUACACACCAACACACGACACGCAGAACAUUCAUUGGCUCCGAGCGCGCGAGACCCAGGAUGUGCACCUGCAUUUCUGGGCAACUUCUCCUUUGGCAGAUGCGCGAGAAUGUGCCACUGCUGCCAAAGGAAAUUUGCCCCGGAAUUCAUCUGCACAAGCACAGCCACACAAAAGCGAGAAGCUACACCUACACUGCGGUUACAGGGGUUCUACGUACCGCGAUGGUACAGCGAAUGUAUGUAUACACUUGUAUUCGUUCUAUUGUAUUGUACAUGUUUGACCUUUGUUCUGCAGCACUGGGUGCUUGUUGUCUUCUACGUACAGGUUCAGGUUAUCAACAUCACUAUAUACCUACUCACCUAGAUUUUACAAAUGGAGCACAUGAGUGCGUGCAAAGCUGGGAAGGCACUGCAAGCCUCUACAGACAAUGGCACUGUACAUUUAGCCAAUAUGAUCAAAUUUACUACUACUACUAAUCCUUGUUGCCCACUGCCUCGGGAAGCUUGUGCGUUGGAGGCCUGUCCGCACCUCGCCUGGAGAACUCUCGCCACCGCCUGGCAGCAGCUGCUGCUCUCUUGGCCCUCUCCGAUGCUUCCCCAUCUGUCGCCACACAAUGUUAGAAACA
rnacentral:precursor_RNA from 1 species